UUAAGACUUAAUUUUUACCGGUCAAUAAAAACAACUGUUUAAAAUCCAAAGAAUUUGGCGGUGUCUCAUUCUAUCAGGGGAACCUGUUGCUUAAUUCGAUAUUCCACGCACUCCAAUCUAUGCCUUGUAACUUCAGCCUGUGUACUGCUGUCGUCAGUAAACCUCUAAAAGCAAGUUUACAAUAAUAUUAAUCAUAAAUACGUCAAGUCAAAGUGCAGCUAAUGGCAUAGAGUAAAAUGGGUUACAAUCUUAACAAAGAAACGGAUAAAAUAAAUAAAAUAUUUUUGAAGGUGGACUUGAUAGUAAUACUUAAAAAUACUAGUAUAAAUUUGUACCUGAGACAUGCACACAUCGCCCGUCACUCUCAUCUAUAAGAUA
rnacentral:rRNA from 1 species